GGAGAGUUACCCAAGUGGUUAAGGGGGCACCCUGCUAAGGUGUUAGAUCGGGAAACCGGUGCGAGAGUUCAAAUCUCUCACUCUCCGCCA
rnacentral:tRNA from 1 species